rnacentral:rRNA from 1 species
UACGUAGGGCGCGAGCGUUGUCCGGAAUUAUUGGGCGUAAAGAGCUCGUAGGCGGUUUGUCGCGUCGGUUGUGAAAACCCAAGGCUCAACCUUGGGCCUGCAAUCGAUACGGGCAGACUAGAGUACUGCAGGGGAGACUGGAAUUCCUGGUGUAGCGGUGGAAUGCGCAGAUAUCAGGAGGAACACCGGUGGCGAAGGCGGGUCUCUGGGACGGUACUGACGCUGAGACGCGAAAGCGUGGGGAGCGAACAGG